rnacentral:rRNA from 1 species
UACGGGGGGGGCAAGCGUUUGUUCGGAAUUACUGGGCGUAAAGGGCUCGUAGGUGGCCAACUAAGUCAGACGUGAAAUCCCUCAGCUUAACUGGGGAACUGCGUCUGAUACUGGAUGGCUUGAGUUUGGGAGAGGGACGCGGAAUUCCGGGUGUAGCGGUGGAAUGCGUAGAGAUCCGGAAGAACACCGGUGGCGAAGGCGGUCUGCUGGGCAGUGCUGACACUGAGGCGCGACAGCGUGGGAGCAACAGG